rnacentral:miRNA from 1 species
CUUAUAUCACCAAAGAACAUU